AACGAACGCUGGCGGCGUGCCUAACACAUGCAAGUCGAACGAGAAAGGGGCUUCGGCUCCGAGUAAAGUGGCGCACGGGUGAGUAACACGUGGGUAACCUGCCUCUAAGAUUGGGAUAACUCGUCGAAAGAUGAGCUAAUACCGAAUAAGACCACAGUUCCCGCGGGAACAGGGGUCAAAGGUAGCCUCUGCUUGCAAGCUAUCACUCAGAGAUGGGCCUGCGCACCAUUAGCUAGUUGGUAGGGUAACGGCCUACCAAGGCAAAGAUGGUUAGCUGGUCUGAGAGGAUGAUCAGCCGCACUGGAACUGAGACACGGUCCAGACUCCUACGGGAGGCAGCAGUGGGGAAUAUUGCGCAAGGGGCGAAAGCUUGACGCAGCAGCGCCGCGUGAGUGAGGAAGACCUUCGGGUCGUAAAGCUCUGUCGGGAGGAACGAAUGCUCCUGAGGUUAACAGCCUCGGGAGGUGACGGUACCUUCAAAGGAAGCACCGGCUAACUCUGUG
rnacentral:rRNA from 1 species